CACCCAAAAUCCCCCCAAAACGGCUGCAGCCCCCCUGCCUCAAGGUGCCGCUGCUGCUGCCGGGGCUGCGCUGCUGCCUCGGGACCUGGCUGGAACCCGGGCAGGGCCCGGCCCGGCUGCAGGUGCUGGUGCUGUGCCCGGGCCGGGAGGGGCCUCUGCUGACGGCUCAGGUGGGGCUGCCCCCGGUGGCCACCUGAGGGACACCUGGGACACCUGGGACACCUGUGACACACCUGUGGCACACCUGGGACACACCUGGGGACACCUGGGGACACCUGUGGCACACC